UGCAAGUCGAGCGGGCCUUUCGGGGUCAGCGGCGGACGGGUGAGUAACGCGUGGGAACGUGCCCUCUGGUUCGGAAUAACUCAGGGAAACUUGAGCUAAUACCGGAUACGCCCUUUUGGGGAAAGGCUUGCUGCCGGAGGAUCGGCCCGCGUCUGAUUAGCUAGUUGGUGAGGUAACGGCUCACCAAGGCGACGAUCAGUAGCUAGUCUGAGAGGAUGAUCAGCCACACUGGGACUGAGACACGGCCCAGACUCCUACGGGAGGCAGCAGUGGGGAAUAUUGGACAAUGGGCGCAAGCCUGAUCCAGCCAUGCCGCGUGAGUGAUGAAGGCCUUAGGGUUGUAAAGCUCUUUUAUCCGGGACGAUAAUGACGGUACCGGAGGAAUAAGCCCCGGCUAACUUCGUGCCAGCAGCCGCGGUAAUACGAAGGGGGCUAGCGUUGCUCGGAAUCACUGGGCGUAAAGGGCGCGUAGGCGGCGUUUUAAGUCGGGGGUGAAAGCCUGUGGCUCAACCACAGAAUGGCCUUCGAUACUGGGACGCUUGAGUAUGGUAGAGGUUGGUGGAACUGCGAGUGUAGAGGUGAAAUUCGUAGAUAUUCGCAAGAACACCGGUGGCGAAGGCGGCCAACUGGA
rnacentral:rRNA from 1 species